rnacentral:lncRNA from 1 species
UUUAACCAAAGACCGAACCGAAAGAACUGGGACCGAGAUCGAAUAAACCGAAACCAAGUAUUUUAAUUCCUAAUUCGGGCAGGAGUUCACAAAAACCAAAUUUACGUUGAAAUUUUCGGUUUUGACUCUCAGUCACCCGAAUUGACCGAAAAAUGAAUAAAUACAAGUAGAUGGGCUGAAACCAAUUUAUAGCCUAGAAACCCGGCUCAAUAUCCUACUACUUCAACCCACCUAACUACAAACCCUUAUCCUUUCCACGUAUGACUAAUUUCACCACACCUCAUUUUCCUUCUUCGGGACUACAUCCGUAGCUCUCUUCCCCUACAUAUUUCCCAUGGAGGAAAUGAGAGCAACCCCAACGCAGCGAUCCAUUUUUUCCGUUUGGGUCAUCCGGACACAAAAGCUAGCCCAACGAGAUGACCCAAACGGACGCGCGCGUCCGUCUGCUGUCCGUUUGUUGUCCAUCCCACCCAAACUUGCGCAAAACUGGGUCACAAAUGGGUCCGAGGCGGACAAAACUGCACACUUCCCUCAUCCGCUCCUCCCCCCUCUUGUCCACCCUGGUCCCACCUAUCAACGACCUGCCGCGGCUGCUGAUGUUUGGGUGCUGCCCUCGUCCACUCCUCCCGGUGCUGCGGGCGAUGCGCGGCGCCACGCGGACCGUGGAGGAUAGUCAAGACGGGCCGACCUGCUCGCCGGCGACCCCGAUCUGCUCGCCGGUGACCCCGAGGUGCACACGCUCUGCCGCCUGAUCGCCACUGCAGGGCCCUCUCUUGGUGCGCUUACGAGGAGGUGGAGGGAGGCGGAGGUGGGGUGGUUGGAGGACUGCGGGCCCGGUGCCAGCGGUGCAAGGCGAGGCGGGGGAUCACGCGCACGGUAGGUGGCGUCACGGCGGAGAUCCAGUCCUGGGCGGACCGUGAGCUCGCCGCGCGCCUUGUGGCUGUGCUGAGGGGCGCGAACUACGCUCGGGCGCGCGUGCUAUUGGCGGGUGCUGCUAUCAGGGGAGGUGGGGUGCUGCUGAAUCCGGCCAGGGAGGGGAGGUGUGGAUAAGGGAGAAGGUGGGGAGGGGAGGUGGUGUGCUGGUGGAUUCACGCUGACAACCUCGUGCGUUGGGUUCGUCCACCCAUCGCGCGUGUCCGCCUCAUGUCCGUUAGGCGGACGGGUGAUCCAAACGAACAAAAUCCAGAUAAAAUUUGUCUCCGUUUGGGUCGCCCCGUUGGAGUUGACUUGACCAUUGCUAAUGUGGAUCCAAUCUCGGUCCUUCUCCACCAGGCCAUAGCUCUAGCCCUAGCAACCGCCAGCCUUCAGCUGCCUCUCCUUCUCUCCACCUCAGUAGCCAAUCCAUUCUGCUGGUUCCACCACCUCUCGUCCUUAACUCGCGAUGGUGCGCCUCCAUCUGCUCCAGGUGAGCAAGACCAGUAGUCGGGCGAGUUUGAGCUAUCAAACGUCAGCGUCGCAACCCAGCUGAAUUUCUGUCGCGUUUCCUCUACUGUCGGUUAAUUCGACAAGAAUAAGGACCGAACCGACCACCGAACCCUCGGUUAGUUCCUAUGAAUAUGACCGAUCGGUCAUCCUUUUUCCGAGACCGAUAUUUGUAGUAAGCCAAAGAACUGAACCGAUCAGUUCGGUUUAACUGAACGCCCACGCCUACCGCAGAUAGCCCCAGGUGCACCUUCAAAACGAGUAAGCGUCUUCGUGUGUAUACACUUUCAGUUUCUGGAAAGCGGAUUCACCCCGAACCAUUUUCUUUUUAGAUCUUUUUUAAAACUAUUGUUUGACUAAAACUUUGACUUGCUCUAACUUUUGGAAUAAAACUCCAAAUGAGUUGAUUCUUUUUCAGUUGUUUUUCAAAUCUCAGCUUGUUUAUUGUUAUAUUGAUUUCAAAUAAUUUUGAACAUAUAUGAUGUUUUGUAAUUAUGUGUUAAAAGGAAUAUUUUCAAAAAUAGGAAUUUGAAGGGAAGAACUUUCAAAGUUUUGGAGUGAGCUCAACCAUUCUGCAUACUCAAGGCAAACAUCUUGAAUCCUAUUUGGCUUAAGUGCGUGACUGAUUGCUGCGAUGAUCGGAUGCAUGGUUUUGUUACUUAAAUACAACUCCCCAUAGUAGCAUACAUUGCAUGAAUACAUGUCAUAUUUGUGUGAUUGCUGUUGAGCAUAUAAUGUCGGUGAUGUGUGGGUACUACCUCCUGCCACGUAUGCCAUGUGGGUGUGGACAACCUGGAGGAAGGUUUGUCAUGGUGAAGAUGUGACCAUGAAACUGAUAUCUCAUGGCGACGAGAGUGAUCAGUGUGGGUAUAUUGAGGUGUGAUGGUGGUAUCCCCAAUGAAUUUUAUUCACAAAAUUGUGUGGUGCUAACCCUUGCAGAUAAAACACUUAAACCUCCUGAGUCGACCAUAGAUCGAGUCUUGUGAGUGCGUCACCUUACUUUUCAUGAUGCCACAGGUCUUCCCAAAAGGGAAUACAAUUUAGAAGGUCGUAAUCCUAUUACCAUGUGCACAUGAAGUGGAGGGGCCGGAUGAAGGUUCCAUGGCCCUGGAACAAUUCCAGGCAUCCGGUCAGGGGGCAUGGGUGUUUUCCGUAUGGGACCGAGAGGGGGACCCUCGCCUUGUAGCACAUGGUGUAAAUUUGAUCCCAUGCUAUUCGAGGAUGUUGGCCUCCCCAUCUUAUAGUUUUUCCCUGGAAGCGUGUCCGGGUGAUUCCAGACCUCGUUGGGUAAAAAUGGGUGUGUGCUGGUUUUGAGUGUUCACUUCUAAAAUACCAUACACGGGAUUAGUCCUAGUGACUAUUGAACCCCAUUGGCUGUGGGUAAAGAGUACACCUGCUGCAGAGUGGAAAACUAUUCAAGUGGUCGUGUCCGCAGUCAAGGACGAUAGGUUGAUAGGCCAAGUGUCGGUCUGAGUGUCAUUCUUCGGAGGAAUAAAUAUAAAGAUGAUGAUGAUCAUGAACCGGGAUGACAACCAUAAUUAUUAUGAAUUUUGCGGUGGACUAAUUAUUUUUGGUAUCCUUGGGACGGUUCUACCUCCCGGAUACUCGAUGUUAUUAUUUUUUUAUAAGCCCUUUAUGUGGUGUCGCAUAGAUGCCUCACUUUGGCAAAUUUUAUUAUUACCAUAUAAAGCCCUUUUUGUUGAGUUACGUAGACGGCCGACAAUGGCAACUACUAGUACUUUCAUAUAAGCCCUUUUUGUGGUGUCGCUUAUACGCCCGACUGUGACACGCAUGUUAUUACUUAUUUUAUUAUUGUUAUAUUUUUAUAAGCCCUUUUUGUGGCGUCGCUGAGACGCCCAACUACGAAACACCCGUCAUUAUCUCAUUGUGAGCCCUCUAUGCGGUGUCGCCCAGACGCCCGACUGUAGCUUAUAGUGGGUGUCCUUACGAGGUGUCGCCUAAGAUGCCCGAUCAACACCUUUAAAUUAAUUAUUUCCCCUUUAUUCUGCUUGCUUGUACAUCAUGACUAGAAAUGACUUAACUGCAUAACUGCACCCAUGAAUUUAAUCUUGUGGCAUAUGAGGUGGUAUUAAAAUGUUUGGGAAUGCAUCUCACCUGCAUUUACUUAUGUGUCUUCUUCAUGAUUGCGAGUUCAUCCAAAGUACUCAUUGGCUUGUCCCUGGCUAUUGCCUUGGCUAGAUCGCAUAUUUGGAGAGGAGCAUGAUGAUUGCAACCCCGGAACCUGAGAGUUGAGGAUAGAAGCCUUGUGAGAUAGGAAUUAUCCAGGUCAGCUGUUCUUGUGGGAAUGGAGCCCCAUGGGCACUUGAGAUUCCACGAGUUGCUUCCGUCGUCAACCUUUCGACAUUUUUGUCCAACCUCCCUCAUGGACCUUCAUGGUAUUGUACCCCAAACUUUGUAAUUGCUUGGGAAUUUUGUAUCAAGUGAGUGUUAACCAUCUAAUAGUAGUCCUAGGGCUGAUGAUCACAAGGGCCUGUUUUCUGGAAAUUUUAUUCCGAAAAAACGGAUGCUACAUCACCCCAUGUUUAUUUAUCAUGUCAAGUCAUCUGACUUCAUG